AGACGGAGGUGGCGAGCGUUGUUCGGAAUCACUGGGCUUAAAGCGUGCGUAGGCGGAAAGGCAAGCGUUUAGUGAAAUCCCUCGGCUCAACCGAGGAAUUACUAGGCGAACGGUUUUUCUUGAGGCAAGUAGGGGUGCAUGGAACUCUUGGUGGAGCGGUGGAAUGCGUAGAUAUCAAGAGGAACGCCAGCGGUGAAGACGGUGCACUGGGCCUGUUCUGACGCUGAGGUACGAAAGCGUGGGGAGCGAACGGGAUUAGAUACCCCAGUAGUCC
rnacentral:rRNA from 1 species